UUCGUUCUCCUUGGGCGGUUUCCUGGACCAAUGUGCCCGAAAUGCCCUUGGCUCCCGCGCCUCCCCUUCCAAGAUGCUUCCUUUUCCCCUUCAAAAGACGACGCCACCACAGGCGCACAGCCUUGCAUCCUCGUCAUCUUCGCUUGGACCCCUUCCUCUCUCUCUCGGGAUCGCUCCACGCCACCUCCGUCUCCGCCAGCCAGGGCGCGGGAUCCCUCGGCUAGAAUUGCGAAGCUGCAGAUCGAGAAGUGAGCCAUGGCGAAGAUCAAGCCGAGAGCACUGCUGGCACAGAGCAAGCAGAAGAGGAGCCCUACUAAAAUCGCCCCAACAAUGUUUGCCUUCAUCGUCGUCGGUGCCCUAGUGGUGUCCUCACUCUACGCAUACAAGUACUGGAUGAGCAAAGGACCAGCUGGAGCGGAAAGUGUUGCUGGGAACUAAGCCCGAGCAAAUGUGGAAUGAUUAAUUCUUUUGUUGUAUGUAUCAUCUUGUUGGCUAAUUUCAGUUGUUGUACUCCAUUAAAUGGAACA